GGUGCCAUAGCUCAGUUAGUAGAGCAAAGGACUGAAAAUCCUUGUGUCCCCGGUUCGAUUCCUGGUGGCACCA
rnacentral:tRNA from 1 species